rnacentral:rRNA from 1 species
AUUGAACGCUGGCGGCAGGCCUAACACAUGCAAGUCGAGCGGAUGAAGGGAGCUUGCUCCUGGAUUCAGCGGCGGACGGGUGAGUAAUGCCUAUGAAUCUGCCUGGUAGUGGGGGAUAACGUCCGAAAACGGGCUCUCCUACCUCAUACGUCCUGAGGGAGAAAGUGGGGUAUCUUCGGACCUCACGCUAUCAUGUGAGCCUAGGGCGGAUUCGCUAGUUGGUGGGGUAACUGCCUACCAAGGCUACGAUCCGUAACUGGUCUGAGAGGAGGAGCAGUAACACUGGAAUGGAGACACGGUCAAGAAUCCUAGGGGAGGGAGCAGUGGGGAAUAUUGGACGAAGGGAGAAAGGCUGAACCAGACAUGCCGCGGGUGUGAAGAAGGUAUUCGGAUUGUAAAGGACUUUAAGGUGGGAGGAAGGGAAGGAAGUUAAUACCGUGAAGUUAAGAAGGUAACAACAGAAUAAGCACCGGCUAAAUUCGUG